rnacentral:rRNA from 1 species
AGCAGCCGCGGUAAUUCCAGCUCCAAUAGCGUAUAUUAAAGUUGUUGCAGUUAAAAAGCUCGUAGUUGAAUUUCGGGAUUAGUACGUUGGUCGUGCCUUAGGUACGUACUGGUGUUACUGGUUCCUACCUUCUGACGAACCAUCAUGUCAUUAAUUUGGUGUGGCGGGGAAUCAGGACUGUUACUUUGAAAAAAUUAGAGUGUUUAAAGCAGGCUCGCGCUUGAAUACAUUAGCAUGGAAUAAUGAAAUAGGACGUUGACCCUAUUUUGUUGGUUUCUAGGAUUGACGUAAUGAUUAAUAGGGAUAGUUGGGGGCAUUAGUAUUCAAUUGUCAGAGGUGAAAUUCUUGGAUUUAUUGAAGACUAACUACUGCGAAAGCAUUUGCCAAGGAUGUUUUCAUUAAUCAAGAACGAAAGUUAGGGGAUCGAAGACGAUCAGAUACCGUCGUAGUCUUAACCAUAAACUAUGCCCGACUAGGGAUCGGAUGAUGUUAUUUUUAAUGAC